rnacentral:tRNA from 1 species
GCCUCUGUAGCUCACUUGGUUAGAGCGCUGCACCGGAAUCGCAGGGCCGUAGGUUCAAUUCCUACCAGAGGAC